CMUGCAKAMCGGUCAGACUCCUACGGGAGGCAGCAGUAGGGAAUCUUCCGCAAUGGACGAAAGUCUGACGGAGCAACGCCGCGUGAGUGAUGAAGGUUUUCGGAUCGUAAAGCUCUGUUGUUAGGGAAGAACAAGUGCCGUUCAAAUAGGGCGGCACCUUGACGGUACCUAACCAGAAAGCCACGGCUAACUACGUGCCAGCAGCCGCGGUAAUACGUAGGUGGCAAGCGUUGUCCGGAAUUAUUGGGCGUAAAGGGCUCGCAGGCGGUUUCUUAAGUCUGAUGUGAAAGCCCCCGGCUCAACCGGGGAGGGUCAUUGGAAACUGGGGAACUUGAGUGCAGAAGAGGAGAGUGGAAUUCCACGUGUAGCGGUGAAAUGCGUAGAGAUGUGGAGGAACACCAGUGGCGAAGGCGACUCUCUGGUCUGUAACUGACGCUGAGGAGCGAAAGCGUGGGGAGCGAACAGGAUUAGAUACCCUGGUAGUCCACGCCGUAAACGAUGAGUGCUAAGUGUUAGGGGGUUUCCGCCCCUUAGUGCUGCAGCUAACGCAUUAAGCACUCCGCCUGGGGAGUACGGUCGCAAGACUGAAACUCAAAGGAAUUGACGGGGGCCCGCACAAGCGGUGGAGCAUGUGGUUUAAUUCGAAGCAACGCGAAGAACCUUACCAGGUCUUGACAUCCUCUGACAAUCCUAGAGAUAGGACGUCCCCUUCGGGGGCAGAGUGACAGGUGGGUGCAUGGUUGUCGUCASCUCGUGUCGUGAGAUGUUGGGUUAAGUCCCGCAACGAGCGCAACCCUUGAUCUUAGUUGCCAGCAUUCAGUUGGGCACUCURRGGUGRCUGCSGGUGASARACCGGGAGGAAGGUGGGGAUGACGUCAAUUCAUCAUGCCCCWUAUGACCUGRGCUACACACGUUGCUACAAUGRGACRGAACAWAGGGCCRUCGAAACYCUGCGAGCGUURAGGCSAAAUCMYCACAAAUSUGGUUUCUUCASUWSGAGARUCGACAGGUGCUGCCRRSUKCAACUGCUGAAGGCUGGGAAGUCGACUACGU
rnacentral:rRNA from 1 species